rnacentral:rRNA from 1 species
AGAGGAAGUAAAAGUCGUAACAAGGUUUCCGUAGGUGAACCUGCGGAAGGAUCAUUAUUGAAUAAACGGAGUGGGUUGUUGCUGGCCUUCUGGUAUGUGCACGCCUGCCAUAUGUUUCAUUCCCUUCUUUCCACCUGUGCACUAUGUGUAGACUAUGUAUGCUGUAUUGUCAGGCCCUUCAUAAGGCUUGGUUUAGAGAGGAUGCUUGUCUUUAUGAGACAGGCUCAUCUUGGGCGUACAGGUCUAUGUUUUACACCAACACGAAUGUCUUAGAAUGUAUUUUUUCAGGCUCUUGCUAGCCUUUAAACCAUAUACAACUUUCAACAACGGAUCUCUUGGCUCUCGCAUCGAUGAAGAACGCAGCGAAAUGCGAUAAGUAAUGUGAAUUGCAGAAUUCAGUGAAUCAUCGAAUCUUUGAACGCACCUUGCGCUCCUUGGUAUUCCGAGGAGCAUGCCUGUUUGAGUGUCAUUAAAUUCUCAAUCCCCUUCAAUUUUGUAUUGUUGGGUGAUGGACUAUGGGAGCCUGCUGGCAUCGUUCAGCUCUCCUCAAAUGCAUUAGCAGGGUAAUAGCCAUCUGUGCUUGGUAUGAUAUUUAUCUAUACCUCAUGUGCUCAUGUCUUACUUGCUUCAAACUGUUGCUUCAAGCAACACUUUUUGACCAUUUGACCUCAAAUCAGGUAGGACUACCCGCUGAACUUAAGCAUAUCAAU